UACGUAGGUGGCGAACGUUAUCCGGAGUUACUGGGCGUAAAGGGUCCGUAGGCGGCCGGGCAAGUCGAUCGUGAAAACUGGCAGCUUAACUGCCAGAGGCCGGUCGAAACUGCCCGACUUGAAUCACCCAGAGGUCGGCGGAAUUCCCGGUGUAGUGGUGGAAUGCGUAGAGAUCGGGAGGAACCCCAAAAGCGAAGGCAGCCGGCUGGGGGAUGAUUGACGCUGAGGGACGAAAGCGUGGGGAGCAAACAGG
rnacentral:misc_RNA from 1 species